UUUAAUUGAGAUAAAAUAAAUAUCUAAAUUUUAAGUAUAUCAUUUACAAUGAUAAGAUGUUUGAUUAACUU
rnacentral:tRNA from 1 species